CAUGCAAGUCGAACGAGCGAGAGAGAGCUUGCUUUCUCAAGCGAGUGGCGAACGGGUGAGUAACGCGUGAGGAACCUGCCUCAAAGAGGGGGACAACAGUUGGAAACGACUGCUAAUACCGCAUAAGCCCACAGGUCGGCAUCGACCAGAGGGAAAAGGAGCAAUCCGCUUUGAGAUGGCCUCGCGUCCGAUUAGCUAGUUGGUGAGGUAACGGCCCACCAAGGCAACGAUCGGUAGCCGGACUGAGAGGUUGAACGGCCACAUUGGGACUGAGACACGGCCCAGACUCCUACGGGAGGCAGCAGUGGGGAAUAUUGCACAAUGGGGGAAACCCUGAUGCAGCGACGCCGCGUGGAGGAAGAAGGUCUUCGGAUUGUAAACUCCUGUUGUUGAGGAAGAUAAUGACGGUACUCAACAAGGAAGUGACGGCUAACUACGUGCCAGCAGCCGCGGUAAAACGUAGGUCACAAGCGUUGUCCGGAAUUACUGGGUGUAAAGGGAGCGCAGGCGGGAAGACAAGUUGGAAGUGAAAUCUAUGGGCUCAACCCAUAAACUGCUUUCAAAACUGUUUUUCUUGAGUAGUGCAGAGGUAGGCGGAAUUCCCGGUGUAGCGGUGGAAUGCGUAGAUAUCGGGAGGAACACCAGUGGCGAAGGCGGCCUACUGGGCACCAACUGACGCUGAGGCUCGAAAGUGUGGGUAGCAAACAGGAUUAGAUACCCUGGUAGUCCACACCGUAAACGAUGAUUACUAGGUGUUGGAGGAUUGACCCCUUCUGUGCCGCAGUCA
rnacentral:rRNA from 1 species